CCUACGGGAGGCAGCAGUAAGGAAUAUUGGUCAAUGGAGGCAACUCUGAACCAGCCAUGCCGCGUGCAGGAAGACGGCCUAUGGGUUGUAAACUGCUUUUAUCUGGGAAUAUGUACCAGAAGAAUAAGGAUCGGCUAACUCCGUGCCAGCAGCCGCGGUAAUACGGAGGAUCCAAGCGUUAUCCGGAUUUAUUGGGUUUAAAGGGUGCGUAGGCGGCCUGUUAAGUCAGAGGUGAAAGACGGUAGCUCAACUAUCGCAGUGCCUUUGAUACUGACGGGCUUGAAUAAACUAGAGGUAGGCGGAAUGAGACAAGUAGCGGUGAAAUGCAUAGAUAUGUCUCAGAACACCGAUUGCGAAGGCAGCUUACUAUGGUUUAUUGACGCUGAGGCACGAAAGCGUGGGGAUCAAACAGGAUUAGAUACCCUUGUAGUC
rnacentral:rRNA from 1 species